rnacentral:rRNA from 1 species
UACGUAGGUGGCGAGCGUUGUCCGGAUUUACUGGGCGUAAAGGGAGCGUAGGCGGACUUUUAAGUGAGAUGUGAAAUACUCGGGCUAAACUUGAGUGCUGCAUUUCAAACUGGAAGUCUAGAGUGCAGGAGAGGAGAAUGGAAUUCCUAGUGUAGCGGUGAAAUGCGUAGAGAUUAGGAAGAACACCAGUGGCGAAGGCGAUUCUCUGGACUGUAACUGACGCUGAGGCUCGAAAGCGUGGGGAGCAAACAGG